CAGUCGCCACGGUAAUACGGAGGGUGCAAGCGUUAAUCGGAAUUACUGGGCGUAAAGCGCACGCAGGCGGUUUGUUAAGUCAGAUGUGAAAUCCCCGAGCUUAACUUGGGAACUGCAUUUGAAACUGGCAAGCUAGAGUCUUGUAGAGGGGGGUAGAAUUCCAGGUGUAGCGGUGAAAUGCGUAGAGAUCUGGAGGAAUACCGGUGGCGAAGGCGGCCCCCUGGACAAAGACUGACGCUCAGGUGCGAAAGCGUGGGGAGCAAACAGGAUUAGAUACCAGUGUAGUCCCUGUCUCUUAUAC
rnacentral:rRNA from 1 species